ensembl:lncRNA
AAUAAAUGAGAAGAAACACAGUAGUCCGUCUCAUAUAGAACAUUUAUAAUACAUAACAAUCCAUAAAGCCUCGUGGUGAGGUAGGAACAGCUUUGGAAAAUAACAUAGUCAUAAAACAUACAAAAAGGUAAAAUGUUGCAGCACUAAGACAUUUCAUCUGCAUGUGCAUUUAAUGAGAUGACAACUGCAUUUAACUGUGCCACAUCUGGCCCAAAAGGCAGGCAGCAGCAGACACAAGAACAAUACAUCAUGGAAGUUUCAUAAAGAAUCAUAGAAGACACUGAUACAUUUCAUUGUGCUGUUUCAAGGCAGAACCGUAACAUGGCAUUUUGUGUCUUUUUAUAUAUAACUACAUAUUAAUUGUAUGUUACAUUCCCUUCAGCAUCUUUUGGCCAAAGUCACUGAACCAUAAAAUUUUUGGUUUAAAAGUUUAAACUGAGUAACAUACAAAAGGCUUUUGUGCCAGUGAAAAUGACUGCUAAGUAUCCCAAGCUUGUUAGUAAAAUAAAAUAGCGUUGCCACAUUAUCGGUAGAGCUACAACAAAAUAGUGCUUUACAAUUCCCAUUUCAGAAGACGGUAAAACACUGUAUGACAGUUUCAACUUAACAAACAACAAAAAAACCCUUCCACCUUCCCAAGAGUUUUAACACUGUUGCAUCAACUUAACUGAAAAGUAUUAAAAUAAAUAUUUUUAUAUUGUAGAAUUACUCUGAAUACCUGUGCAUGUGUGAACAUCUUAAGACAGCAGGUUAAUGACAUAUUCAUCAUUCAAAUAUUUGCUUAAAAAGUAAAAAUCUUCAACUCAAUACAUGUUAGCCAACUAAAUACUUCACAUUAGGUUCCAUAGGUCUUUUCCCUCAAAACCUUCCAAAAUUCAAAAUUAACUGAGGAUAUCAACAAGACACAAACAUCUUAACAGUCUUCCAUGUACUGUGAUUUUUUUCAAGGUGCAUUAGGAAAUUUUUCCUAUACAAAUGACAUACUUAGGAUAACAUUUUAGUUUCAGCAAGAUGAGGAUUUUAUCAGAUUCUAGUCUAUACUUUUGCUAUGUAAUAAUCUCCAGGAAGAAAAAAAGGAACAAUCACACAAGUGAAAAGUUGACAAUGGAGAAUUAAGUUUCUCAUCAGUAAGGCUGCAUUUCGCUGGAGAACAUUUCUGGUUGUUUUCAAUUCAGGCACACACAGCACCUCCUUCUCACAAAACUCAGACAGACAAAUUUCUAAACACACAUUCUACACUGACCUUGCUCAGAGGGGCUGGCAGGAGGCAUGCAGUGCAUGGAAUGGCACACUUAAAUAACGGGUUUAAGUUUCCUAAUAAUUCAGGGUACUUCCCGCAUUUUCUUUCAGAAAUAAGCUAUUUUGGAAAAGACACUUAAAUCCUACAUUUAAAUACAAAAGCAUGUCUUUCUUUCUUAAGGAUAAUGCUAAUAUAGCUAAAAAUGGGUUAGAAAGUGCAUUGUAAAGAAAUAAAUAAUUCUCUGCUAAAACUCAAAAGAUGUCAGUGCACACUAAUUUUGCUAUGACGAAGUCUUUUGAAAAAAAGAAAAUCCUACAGUACCACUGUUACAGAUAAGCUACUUAGAAAGUAUCAAAAGUGAAAUAACUAAAACGUAUAACUAAAGUCUGUAACAUACAAAGCACUUCUGAAAAAUAAGCCCUAGUCCUUGUCCCAUCCUUUCCAUUCUCGAACACCCUCACCCUGCAACGUCUUUAUACCUAGGUGUCACACCACCUGCCAGCUCCCAGAGCAUUUGUGAGAAAACCCGCUGAAUGUAUCUUACCAGUUAUCCUAGUGUAUCCUUGCCAAAAUGUCUAUAUAACAAACUGUUCUAAGAUUCUACUAAAGUGUUCUGUGAAGUGGUAAGCCAGGAAUAUACAUGAUGCAAUAUAAUUUGCAGCUUUUCUCUCCUUCACCAGGUACAUUCCUCAAUUUCAUGUUUAAAAAAAACAAAAACCCAACCUUUUUGCAAAAUUCAAAGUAACUACCAGUUAAAGAGCUGAAUUACAUAAUGUGAGUAUUAAAAGAUUAAGAUGUAUUGCAAAUUGGCAGGUAAUGGUUUUGGCCCAUUAUAAUAAAUGUGAAUUUACAAACUAUGUUCUUAAAAUUACCUUAUUCUCAUUGGAAAAAAAAAUCUGCUGUUCUUAAAUAGGCCCAUUGCCAGCAACAGGCUUAGAUUAGGGUAAAACACACCAUCUCUACCACAAAAGAUUAUCCCUUUUAAAAGGGACUGUCAUAUACCAAUACUUUUAUCUUAAGACCUAUUAAACAAUGAAUUAUUUCAAAUCUCAAAAAGGUGGCCAUCCCAAAAGUAGUCAGCUAUAAAAGUUACUAAAGUAGUCAGAAUACCUUGUUUCUAGAAAAAUAGAACUA